rnacentral:lncRNA from 1 species
AUGGAAUGGUGGAUGUAUUUUGGGGAAAGGAGUAAUGAGAUAUGUUAACUUUUCCUUUGAUUCCUCCUUCAUAGUUAUCUGUGAGUUUUUGAUAAUAGGCAUGGUGCUCCUUUUCCUAGGGGCUACUGAUGACCUGGAGCUGUUCUCUAAAGUCACGUCAACGCGCAAAUUCUCUGUAUACGGAACAUGACUUUUGAGAUCCCACAGGAGACGACUGUAUAGUCUGAAGAAGGCUACAGAAAAGAUACCUUUCUGUGAAAGGUGAGAUGGUUUUGCUAAUGACUGCUUCUUAUAUUUCCUUCACAAAUCUUUCUGCUUGCGUUGAGACCGCCACCACGGUGUGAUGGGCUGUAAUUCUUUGGGGUGGUGAGGAAGGAACAGUGCAGUCCAGACAAACCUCUACUUAACAUACUUAUUCAGAUGAAAGUUGCUUGCCUUUGUCCUUUUUCCACUGGCCCAGACUGAAGGAUUACUGCAAUUCUGCAAUGUUAUCAAAAGGGUGAGUGCUCUCAUUGUAAAUCUGUAAGUCUUAACCCCUCUUUGUCAGAGGCAAAGGGAAGCGGUGCAAGUGCACCUUCUCAUAGAACAUCAGUCCCAUCCAUACCACAGACAAAAUGUAAAUGUUGAUUUCUCCUUUUUAAAUACAAGAGCAUUUAUCUGCCAGUCCUCAAGCCCUAUUUCCUUGGUAAGGAGAGCUCUCUGGAUGCGUUACAGUUGCAAUUGCCUCAGUUCGAACAGAUGUUCUUGUCUGUGUUUUUAAAGUGAAUGGCCUUGAUUUUGCAGCAAAGUCAGUGAGAUGUCAUCUGAAUGUAAGGGUUUGGGUGCAUUAAACUCAUUGCAGAAUGAGGGCCUAUAUUUAUAUUUCUCCCAGAAAGUCUUGCUAUACUGCACACAGCCUCCAUUUAGAGGGUUUUACUGAGACUGCAGAUUCAAGCAUUCAAAAUUAGGAAACACCAGCAAUGAGACUGUCAGUUCAGUGUUAAUUCUUCCAGCUGUGUCCGUAUGUGUGAUAAUUGUCUUGACUGACUUGAUCGCAGUAUAUUUUUUGCAGUGGCCCCUCUCCUGCUCAGUGCUUGUGGUCCUGAGAUCGAACGCAGGCUGCGUAGCGAGGGGGAUCGCCGUGCUGCAGACCCGUGCUCGGGCCAUCGCGGGAGCUGCAGCUGCCAGCCGGACCUGCUGCUCCUGUCGGCUCCCUGCUCGAAUCAAGCCGUGCCCCUGCAGCUGCAGCUGUGCGGGAGAUAAGGGGCUUCUUCCCCGCAGCACAAAUAGCAGGUAACUGCUAGUCUAAAAAGCCCUUAUGGAGCCCUCAAGGGCAGUUUUU